AACGAACGCUGGCGGCAUGCCUAACACAUGCAAGUCGAACGAGACCUUCGGGUCUAGUGGCGCACGGGUGCGUAACGCGUGGGAACCUGCCCUUAGGUUCGGAAUAACUCCCCGAAAGGGGUGCUAAUACCGGAUAAUGUCUUCGGACCAAAGAUUUAUCGCCUUUGGAUGGGCCCGCGUUGGAUUAGCUAGUUGGUAGGGUAAAAGCCUACCAAGGCGACGAUCCAUAGCUGGUCUGAGAGGAUGAUCAGCCACACUGGGACUGAGACACGGCCCAGACUCCUACGGGAGGCAGCAGUGGGGAAUAUUGGACAAUGGGCGAAAGCCUGAUCCAGCAAUGCCGCGUGAGUGAUGAAGGCCUUAGGGUUGUAAAGCUCUUUUACCCGGGAUGAUAAUGACAGUACCGGGAGAAAUAGCUCCGGCUAACUCCGUG
rnacentral:rRNA from 1 species